UUAGAGUCGGCUAAAAUUAGUAACAAUUAAGAACAAAGAAAGAUUUUAACAGCUAUCAGAUAUAGUUAUUGGAGAACAAAUAAAAAAAGCAAAUUUUACAACUGUAGCUCGGAAGAAACAUCACAGAUAAGUACAAUUAGUUCAUAACUACUAAGUAAUACAUACACAUACAUGCCGACAUGAAAAUUUGGAUUAAAAUGCACGACAUGACAUGCAUGAGAUACAUUAAAAUUUUAUAUUUUUAAAAUUUAUUAUAGUUCAAAUCUAUGGCUAAUAUAUUCAAAUGUAUAAAAAAUAUUUUAAAAAGCACUAAUUGAAAUUAAAAAGACAUAUAUUUCAUAACUUCAAAGUUAAGAUAUCAUUCACAUAACAAUUGCAUUAUAUACGAUGCAAAAAUAAUUGUAGAACAUUGAAAUACCCAUGAUGUAUUCAUGUUAUAAAUGUUUCAAGACAUAUUUAGUGUAGAAGUUAGAUUUUGAGAAUGGAGAACAUUGUUACUCCAUAAGAGGUUCAUCACGUGGUUUUGUUUGGAGGGUUAAGUGUCACAGAAGUGUCCGUGAGGUGUCUAUAAAGUAUCUGAUAACAAGAAUUUAAAAUUCCAAUCAAGAACGUUGAAAAAGUGUUCCUACAUAGAAGUGUCCGUGCUUCUUAGAUUUAUAACUUCUACUAUCAAAAACACCCAGAGCUUCACCAAGUCCCCCUAAAAACACUACUUGAUGUUGGUAGAUAAGGUAUCAGUUAUAAAAAUAAAAAAUAAAAAUAAAAGAGGGGGAGAAGAAGAGGAAGGAAGAGAAAAGAAAGAAAAAGUAACACAGAAAGGGGUUUUUUUUUUUUUUUUUUUUGAACUACACUUCUCAUCCCUGGACCCAUAUAUUUAUAUUAAAUAGUCGACCAAAUUACAAAAGUACCCUCAUUUCUAAAAUAACAACAAAAUCUAAUAGUAUCAUUCACAGAAUGAUGUAUGUGCUUGCAGUUCCACAUGAUGCUGCAGUUGUAGCUUUAAGUCCAAACCUGUGCUUAUCAACUGGCAGCCUCAUGAUCAGCAAAUUGAUAGACACAAACAUUGACAUGUGUUUGUCUGCAUCAACCAACCUGAUAGAACGCUUUCAGCAUAGACCAGAUAUGUUUCAUAGAAACCAGUCACGUGUCUUCCUCAUCCCUUCCAAUGCCAAUGUAUUUUUUCAAUGUCAGUUAUUGUAAAUUACAUAGAAGAAAUUCCAGUCAAGAUAGUUAGUCAGUCAUUCUGAAAACCCAUCCUGUAUGCAUAUAAUACUGGUGACUAAGAUAAAGUGAUGCAUGAUAUCAGCAAUUAACAAAUCUCAUUAUGAUGAAUACUUUAAAAUUGAAAAAUGGGUAGUGACUACGGGGCAUCAUGUAAUAAAAAGUAAAAAGACGCAUCAGGGAAAAAGCGAGUCCAUUUGAAAGAAUGACAAGGCACCCAUGACAUGCUAUAGUGCAAGCAUUUUGCAAGGAUAUAUCACAUAUCCACACAUGCACAUUAUACAUACAAAUAUUAUUAUGUUUAUAUGUACGCAUAAGGCAGAACAUAUUAAAUUGGUUUAGUUAUCUAUAUAUAAGAACAAGUAGAAGAAAAUAAAGUAGAAACAAAGACGAGAUUGAUAAUUUGGAGAGCUUAGAAUUCUCUACUUUUUUCUUUUUUUCUUAAACUUUAAAAUUAUAAAUAAAAAGUGCAAAGUAACAACUAAAUCAAUAGUGACAACUAGAAAUAGAACUACCAAACUAAAUCUGGUAUAAUAUUACAAAUCUGGUUAUAAACAUUAAACAUUAAACAUUUUUUUUUCUUUUUCUGGAACAUUAGAUUAUAUGAGAUAUAGUCAUGACGAAAGCAAGAGACUAUGACAUU